rnacentral:rRNA from 1 species
UACGUAGGGGUGCAAGCGUUGUCCGGAAUUACUGGGCGUAAAGAGCUCGUAGGUGGUUUGUCACGUUGUUCGUGAAAACCCACAGCUCAACUGUGGGCGUGCGAGCGAUACGGGCAGACUAGAGUACUGCAGGGGAGACUGGAAUUCCUGGUGUAGCGGUGGAAUGCGCAGAUAUCGGGAGGAACACCUGAGGCGAAGGCGGGCUACUGGGCCGAUACUGACGCUGAUGCGCGAAAGCCAGGGGAGCGGAACGGG